UGGAUUGGUGGUGUAAGCGUGUAGGCCGUGUGGUAGGUAAAUCCGCUGCACAUUAUGGUUGAGGCGUGAUGCGUAGACCCUAUGAGGGUUGAUGGUGGUGAUCCUGUACUGUCGAGAAAAGCCUCUAGCGAGUGUGUGUAUGGCCCGUACCCUAAACCGACACAGGUGGUCAGGUUGAAGAUACUAAGGCGUUCGGGUGAACUGUGGUUAAGGAAUUCGGCAAAAUGCCCCCGUAACUUCGGGAGAAGGGGGGCCCUGUGAUGUGAAGACCCUGUGCGGUUGGAGUGUUGUGGGGUCGCAGAGAAUAGAGGGAAGCGACUGUUUAUCAAAAACACAGGUCCAUGCGAAGACGUUAAGUUGAUGUAUAUGGACUGACGCCUGCCCGGUGCUGGAAGGUUAAGGGGAACUGUGAGUGUAUGCGUAGCGGUGAACUUAAGCCCCAGUAAACGGCGGUGGUAACUAUAACCAUCCUAAGGUAGCGAAAUUCCUUGUCGGGUAAGUUCCGACCUGCACGAAUGGCGUAACGACUUCUCUGCUGUCUCGACCACAGGCCCGGUGAAAUUGCAUUACGAGUAAAGAUGCUCGUUACGCGCGGCAGGACGAAAAGACCCCGGGACCUUCACUAUAGCUUGGUAUUGGUGUUUGGUUCGGUUUGUGUAGGAUAGGUGGGAGACUGUGAAGCUGUCACGCUAGUGGUGGUGGAGUCGUUGUUGAAAUACCACUCUGAUCGGAUUGAGCAUCUAACCUUGGCCCAUGAUCUGGGUUGGGGACAGUGCCUGGUGGGUAGUUUAACUGGGGCGGUUGCCUCCCAAAAUGUAACGGAGGCGCCCAAAGGUUCCCUCAGCCUGGUUGGCAAUCAGGUGGUGAGUGUAAGUGCACAAGGGAGCUUGACUGUGAGACAGACAUGUCGAGCAGGGACGAAAGUCGGGACUAGUGAUCCGGCACCUACUUGUGGAUGUGGUGUCGCUCAACGGAUAAAAGGUACCCCGGGGAUAACAGGCUGAUCUUCCCCAAGAGUCCAUAUCGACGGGAUGGUUUGGCACCUCGAUGUCGGCUCGUCGCAUCCUGGGGCUGGAGUUGGUCCCAAGGGUUGGGCUGUUCGCCCAUUAAAG
rnacentral:rRNA from 1 species